CUCAGAUAUUCUUUUGCUACUUCUUAUUAUCUGUUUGUAUUGUUGAGAUGAUUUCUUCCUAAAUCGCUGUUAAUAUAAACAGAAUAAUAAUAGUUUUUGUUAUGUGAUUGAUAUUUCAGGGAACUCCAUCAAAGGAAGUUGAUUCUGCUAAAGAAAGUUCAAAGCCUGAACGACCAUCUGUGUUGGCCAAGAGAAGUACACAUGCUGCUUCUUUAAAACAUAGUAAACCAGCUUCUAGUGUUGAUGCUGAAAUUGUGGGUGGAUCCACAAUAAGUUCUCAGGCUAUGCUGAAGUAGGAGGUUUCUACUGCUUCAUCAAAAGGCACUACUAUUAAAACAGGUGAUCGAGUAAAAUUUGUUGGUAACUUCCCUUCUGCUGUCUCAUCAAUACAAAAUCAUCCUUCAAGACUUCAAUUGAUGCUGCAAACUAUGACAGGGUGAUGUUACUGGGUGGAAGAGCGCCAGAGUAUCUUGCUCAUGAUCCUCUUGUGGCACUGGUGAUCAAGCUUUUCAGUUCUGGAAAAGCACUUGCUUCCAUUUGCCUCGGAUAGUUGAUUCUGGCGGCUACAGGUGUAGCUAAAGAUCACAAGUUUAUCGCCUUUCCUCCUGUUAAACCAGCACCGGUUGCCUCUGGUGCUCAUUGGGUUGAACCAGACACUAGCAACAGUGGUGGAUGGUAAUCUCAUUACUACCGCCACUUAUGAAGG